ACCUCGGUGGCGUAGUGGAAGCACGCGUACCCGGUAUGGAUGAAACGCGGGUUCGACUCCCUUCUGAGGUU